GAUGAAGAACGCAGCGAAAUGCGAUAAGUAAUGUGAAUUGCAGAAUUCAGUGAAUCAUCGAAUCUUUGAACGCACAUUGCGCCCUUUGGAAUUCCAAAGGGCAUGCCUGUUCGAGCGUCAUUUGUACCCUCAAGCUUUGCUUGGUGUUGGGCGUCUUGUCUCUAGCUUUGCUGGAGACUCGCCUUAAAGUAAUUGGCAGCCGGCCUACUGGUUUCGGAGCGCAGCACAAGUCGCACUCUCUAUCAGCAAAGGUCUAGCAUCCAUUAAGCCUUUUUUUCAACUUUUGACCUCGGAUCAGGUAGGGAUACCCGCUGAACUUAAGCAUAUCAAUAAGCGGAGGA
rnacentral:misc_RNA from 1 species